rnacentral:lncRNA from 1 species
UUUCUCAAAUGUCAGGAGUAACUCUGCUGCAAGGUUUCUCUAUACUAUUACCGUUAUAUUUCGGAAUCGUAACGGUGCGCUAUAAUGGUCUAAGCGCUUUUAAGAUAAGUUUAACACCAGUUAUGUUGAUAAACAAUAAUAAAUUGGUUCGCUGAGCACAGCCUGAUACGACCGCAGAGGUUGAACCCUGAACAGCGUGGGCAAAUUUGGACACAAUAUUCAAGUUUGA